AGUGAACGCUGGCGGCGUGCUUAACACAUGCAAGUCGAACGAGUAAGUGCUGUAGCAAUACAGAUUACUGCUAGUGGCAGACGGGUGAGUAAUACAUGGGAAUCUACCUUGAAGUCUGGGAUAACUGUUGGAAACGACAGCUAAUACCGGAUAUUGCCGAGAGGUGAAAGUUUUUCGCUUCAAGAUGAGCCCAUGCAAGAUUAGCUAGUUGGUAGGGUAAUGGCCUACCAAGGCGAAGAUCUUUAGCUGGUCUAAGAGGAUGAUCAGCCACACUGGGACUGAGACACGGUCCAGACUCCGACGGGAGGCAGCAGUGGGGAAUAUUGGACAAUGGGCGAAAGCCUGAUCCAGCGACGCCGCGUGAGUGAUGAAGGCCUUCGGGUUGUAAAGCUCUUUCAGUAGGGAAGAUAAUGACGGUACCUACAGAAGAAGCUCCGGCUAACUUCGUGCCAGCAGCCGCAGUAA
rnacentral:rRNA from 1 species